GAGGUAGCAAUACCUAGCGGCAGACGGGUGCGUAACAUGUGGGAAUCUGCCUUUUGGUUCGGAAUAACACGAGGAAACUUGUGCUAAUACCGGAUAAGUCCUAACGGAGAAAGUUUUAAUGCCAAAAGAUGAGCCCGCAUUUGAUUAGUUUGUUGGUGAGGUAAUGGCUCACCAAGGCGAUAAUCAAUAGCUGAUUUGAGAGGAUGAUCAGCCACACUGGGACUGAGAUACGGCCCAGACUCC
rnacentral:rRNA from 1 species